rnacentral:lncRNA from 1 species
GUUAGGGGAGGAAAAUGCUCCCUAUCAGCACUGCUGAGGAAUGAAGGCAAAUGAGAAAGGGAAAAGAAGGGAGAAGCAAGACUGAGUGCAUAGUGCAGGAGUCUGAUCUAAUACAGAUCUAGAAAAGAAAGUGCAAUAUAAGAAGGAAGUGUAUUAGAAAGAUAAUAAAAUAUAUUGUAAGGAAAGAAAUAGGGUAAAUAUAGAAAAUAUGAACAAUGUUUGGAAAAGCAAGUACCAUACGUUGGAGAUGGAAGAGAUGCCAAGCCCUAUGGAAAGAACAAGAACUGUGCGGAAUGGUGUUAUCAAUUAUCCCUUUUGGAUUCUCAUUUUCUUGAAAAAUCCCUGUAACUGACGGAAGGAAAGUUUUCACAGAUCACCUCACUGAAUCACAGAAUCACAGAAAGGCUGAGUUUGGAAGGAACCUCGGAAGAUCAUGUAAUCCAACCAUCGUGCUCAAAGCAGGGUCAACUAGAACGCAUUGCACAGGACUGUGUCCAGACGGCUUUUGAGUAUUUCCAAAGUUGGAGAUUCCACCACGUCUCUGGGUAACCUGUUCCAGUGUUCAACCAUCCUCAGAAUAAAAAAGCUUUUUCUUAUGUUUAAGUGGGAUUU